rnacentral:rRNA from 1 species
GACGAACGCUGGCGGCGUGCUUAACACAUGCAAGUCGAACGAAGUGGCGAACGGGUGAGUAACGCGUAAUCAACCGGCCAUUCAGAGGGGAACAACAGUUGGAAACGACUGCUAAGACCGCAUACUGAGGGAGGGGAGUGCGUCUGAUUAGCUAGUGGGAGGGGUAAAGGCCCACCAAGGCGAUGAUCAGUAGCCUGUCUGAGAGAAUGAACGGCCACAUUGGGACUGAGACACGGCCCAGACUCCUACGGGAGGCAGCAGUGGCGACUCUUCCUCAAUGGACGAAAGUCUGACGAAGCAACGCCGCGUGAGUGAUGACGGCCUUCGGGUUGUAAAGCUCUGUUAAUCGGGACGCGGUACCGGAAUAGAAAGCCACGGCUAACUCCGUGCCAGCAGCCGCGGUAAUUC